GACGAACGCUGGCGGCGUGCUUAACACAUGCAAGUCGAACGGAAAGGCCCUGCUUUUGUGGGGUGCUCGAGUGGCGAACGGGUGAGUAACACGUGAGUAACCUGCCCUUGACUUUGGGAUAACUUCAGGAAACUGGGGCUAAUACCGGAUAGGAGCUCCUGCUGCAUGGUGGGGGUUGGAAAGUUUCGGCGGUUGGGGAUGGACUCGCGGCUUAUCAGCUUGUUGGUGGGGUAGUGGCUUACCAAGGCUUUGAUGGGUAGCCGGCCUGAGAGGGUGACCGGCCGGGGGGGGAGGGAGCAACGCCCCAGCGGCCUAGGGGAGGCGGGAGUGGGGAAACGGGAACAGGGGGGGGAGGCCGGAGGCAGCAGGGCCCGGUGCGGGACGCCGCCCUGCGGGUGGGAGACCACGGCCGGCUGGGUGGAAGGGUGGGUGGUGGUAAUGGAAAAGGAAGAGCUGGCUAACCCCGUGCCAGCAGCGGCGCUAAAGAAGGGAACCGCCCACAUCUGAAC
rnacentral:rRNA from 1 species